rnacentral:misc_RNA from 1 species
CAAGAUUUACAUUGUUUAUCAAUUCAUUUGUCCUGUUUUCCUUCUCCGUUGAUGCACUACUGUCAAUCUAUCAUGCCAACCUAUGAAGCAGAAGUAGAACAGCAUAUCAUUGCUGCGACUCAGCAUAUCCUGAAGGCAUUAGGGGCAAGUAAGAACCUGAAUGAUGAUUUUAAAAGAGCACUUACCGAGCUUGAUUCCCAUUUGUCCACAAUGACUAUGAUAACUGAAAGCAAGGGAGGGGGUUUUUCUGAGAUAGAGGAACAGCUCAAACAUGCUGAGAGAAAGAUUAUUCGUUGGGAGUCAGAUCCAUCUUUUAUAUGGGACUCUGGCCCCACGGAAGCUACCGAGUAUUUGCAAGCUGUCAAUGCGAUUCUAACGGUGAUAGAAAGUUCAGGAGGUCUGUCGUUAAGUGAAAAUGGGAAGCCCAGGGAGAUUGCUUUACAAGCUGAGCAUGCACUGCAGAGAGCAAUGUCAAGACUUGAGGAAGAGCUAUGCCACAUUCUGUUUCAGCAUAAGCAAUAUUUUAAGCCACGAUAUGUUUCGUUUCAUUCAUGUGCAGAAGAUAUGUUUUAUGAUAAGUCAUUUACUUCUUUGGAAGAUGAAAUAGUUGAGGAAACAUCCCAGAGAGAUGGGGAAGACAGAGAAUCUGUUGAAUGUUCUCUGGAUUUGGUUGAUCCCCAUGUGAUUCCUGAAAUCAAGUCCAUUGCAAAUAUUAUGUCUGCUUCCAAUUAUAUUCAAGAGUUUUGUGAGGCUUUCAUUGGUAGCCGGAUAGAAGCAUUAUAUGAAUACUUUUCCAUUCUUGAAAUAGAGAAACUCAGUAUUGAGGAUGUUCUGAAGCUGGAAUGGGAUAGCUGGAACAGGGAAACCAAGAAAUGGAUGUGGGCUAUGAAGGUCAUCAUUAGAGUGUAUCUUGCUAGUGAGAAACGACUUUGUGAGCAGAUAUUGGGGGAUUUUGGUUCUGUCAAUUCAUUUUGUUUCAUUGAAAUCUCUAAGGCUUCAGUUUUGUGCCUCUUGAAUUUUGGCCAAGCAGUAGCAAUGGGACCUCAUAAGCCUGAGAAGUUAAUCCGGCUGCUUGACAUGUAUGAGAUUAUGGCAAAUCUUCACCUAGAGUUAGACAGUUUAUUCUCUGAAGAUGAUGGUUCUUUUGUUAGAAUCGAGUACCACAAGCUUUUGAGGAGAUUGGGUGAUUAUGCAAGGGAGACCUUUAUGAGAUUUGGGA